AUAGGACGGUGGUAUAACCAAAGUGCCUUUCCGAGAGUCAAGUCUCGUGUUUAGGUUCAUGUGGUACAACCCCACUCAAUGGAGGAAUCUUGAAAGUAAUCUAUGUUGGCAUGAAUAGUCGUGUUGGCAUUAUAUUUUCAAGUGACCGUCGAAGUUGAGGACCUUUAGUUACCCUUAACCCAUCUUAGCCUUUUUAGGACGUAGUGCGGUGGCUAAUCAAGAGUAGUCUUGAAUUAGUUGAUACGCGAUACUACACUCAAAUGAAACUUUCCUACGGAUAUUAUUGGAUCAAGAGUAGUCUUGUAACCUGAUAACAUUCGGAGGUAGUUGAUGACUUUGGGAACUGGAUAGAACCCGUGAUACAGGUACAAAUGAAACCAUAGUCCUUACCAAAUGGGGGUUAUUACCUUUAAACUCCAACAUGAUGAGCUUAACCUACGCAUAAUCAUGCAUACAUGCAUUCAUUCAUAAUUUUAUCUUUUUUCAUCAAAAAAUAUCAAAG
rnacentral:lncRNA from 1 species